rnacentral:rRNA from 1 species
UACGAAGGGGGCUAGCGUUGUUCGGAAUUACUGGGCGUAAAGCGUGCGCAGGCGGCUUCUCAAGUCAGGGGUGAAAGCCCAGAGCUCAACUCCAGAACUGCCUUCGAAACUGGCGAGCUUGAGUCCGGGAGAGGUGAGUGGAACUGCGAGUGUAGAGGUGAAAUUCGUAGAUAUUCGCAAGAACACCAGUGGCGAAGGCGGCUCACUGGCCCGGUACUGACGCUGAGGUGCGAAAGCGUGGGGAGCAAACAGG